rnacentral:tRNA from 1 species
UAAAAGGUGGGAUAGCUCAG